rnacentral:rRNA from 1 species
CAGUAGUCAUAUGCUUGUCUCAAAGAUUAAGCCAUGCAUGUCUAAGUACAUGCCGUAUUAAGGCGAAACCGCGAAUGGCUCAUUAAAUCAGUUAUGGUUCCUUGGAUCGUACCUUACUACUUGGAUAACUGUGGCAAUUCUAGAGCUAAUACAUGCAGCAGAGCUCCGACCUUCGGGGACGAGCGCUUUUAUUAGACCAAAACCAAUCGGAUCUCGGUCCGUUCUAUGUGGUGACUCUGAAUAACUUUGGGCUGAUCGCACGGACUUGUUCCGGCGACGUAUCUUUCAAGUGUCUGCCUUAUCAACUGUCGAUGGUAUGUUACGCGCCUACCAUGGUCGUAACGGGUAACGGGGAAUCAGGGUUCGAUUCCGGAGAGGGAGCCUGAGAAACGGCUACCACAUCCAAGGAAGGCAGCAGGCGCGCAAAUUACCCACUCCCGGAACGGGGAGGUAGUGACGAAAAAUAACAAUACGGGACUCUUUUGAGACCCCGUAAUUGGAAUGAGUACACUCUAAAUCCUUUAACGAGGAUCCAUUGGAAGGCAAGCCAGGUGCCAGCAGCUGCGGUAAUACCUGCUCCAAUAGCGUAUAUUAAAGUUGUUGCGGUUAAAAAGCUCGUAGUUGGAUCUCAGUUGCAGAGGGACGGUCCUCCUACCGGUGGUCACUGUCUUUUCUGAACGUCUCAGCCGGUUUCUCUUGAUGAUCUUCACCGGUUGUCUUGGGUGACCGGCAAGUUUACUUUGAAAAAAUUAGAGUGCUCAAAGCAUGCUUCACGCAUGAAUAAUGGUGCAUGGAAUAAUGGAAUAGGAUCUCGGUUCUAUUUUGUUGGUUUACGGAAAACGAGGUAAUGAUUAAGAGGGACAGCCGGGGGCAUUCGUACUGCGACGCUAGAGGUGAAAUUCUUGGACCGUCGCAAGACGACUAU